UGGGUAGUCAUUUUUGCUGUAGUGUAGUGGGACGACAGGAUGUAUAGGAAGUAGAUUUCAGACUUUAUAGCCGGGGGAGUUAAUUAUGUUAAAAAUAAAAGGGCUAUAUUCAUGCAAUAUAUAUAUAUAUAUAUAUAUAUUCCUAGUUUACGUAGUGAUCCCAAUUUAUUAGGUUUACCCAACGGGCUAAACCAUAAGCUAACCAUGCGGCUGAGAAUGAAUUGUUUAAAACUAAAACGUGAUGUUUGUUGUUCUUUGUGCUGGGCAAACGCAGCCAAAAUAUGUUAGCUGGCUAUUCAGCAAAAUACUUCGUGCAGGGGCCGUCCAAAUACUGGAAGGAAACUUGCAAGCAUACGUUGAAGGCUUCUUUCAUCGUUUCUGUGUUCCCGCUAUUCAUUAAUCUUCAGUCUACAAACUUCUUGUGUCAAGCCAAGAAAAAGUUCAGCAUUUACUGAGAGAACGAAGACUGCAACCGAAGGAAAUCCUGCCCACUAUCCCACCAGUAAUUCAUGUAGAGAUGCAUUAGCCACACUGAAGAUUCCAUGGAUAUUAACUCGCACUUUAACUUUAACUUUUGAAUUAUCACCAUCGUUUUGGGGACCAACAUUUUGAAUAACAAAAUGGCCUAAACAACACAGCAAUAUGGCAC